GAUGAACGCUGGCGGCGUGCCUAAUACAUGCAAGUCGAGCGAACAGAUGAGGAGCUUGCUCCUCUGACGUUAGCGGCGGACGGGUGAGUAACACGUGGAUAACCUACCUAUAAGACUGGGAUAACUUCGGGAAACCGGAGCUAAUACCGGAUGAUAUAUUGAACCGCAUGGUUCAAUAGUGAAAGACGGUUUUGCUGUCACUUAUAGAUGGAUCCGCGCCGCAUUAGCUAGUUGGUAAGGUAACGGCUUACCAAGGCGACGAUGCGUAGCCGACCUGAGAGGGUGAUCGGCCACACUGGAACUGAGACACGGUCCAGACUCCUACGGGAGGCAGCAGUAGGGAAUCUUCCGCAAUGGGCGAAAGCCUGACGGAGCAACGCCGCGUGAGUGAUGAAGGUCUUCGGAUCGUAAAACUCUGUUAUUAGGGAAGAACAAAUGUGUAAGUAACUAUGCACGUCUUGACGGUACCUAAUCAGAAAGCCACGGCUAACUACGUG
rnacentral:rRNA from 1 species